rnacentral:rRNA from 1 species
GACGAACGCUGGCGGCGUGCCUAAUACAUGCAAGUUGAGCGCUGAAGGUUGGUACUUGUACCAACUGGAUGAGCAGCGAACGGGUGAGUAACGCGUGGGGAAUCUGCCUUUGAGCGGGGGACAACAUUUGGAAACGAAUGCUAAUACCGCAUAAAAACUUUAAACACAAGUUUUAAGUUUGAAAGAUGCAAUUGCAUCACUCAAAGAUGAUCCCGCGUUGUAUUAGCUAGUUGGUGAGGUAAAGGCUCACCAAGGUGAUGAUACAUAGCCGACCUGAGAGGGUGAUCGGCCACAUUGGGACUGAGACACGGCCCAAACUCCUACGGGAGGCAGCAGUAGGGAAUCUUCGGCAAUGGACGAAAGUCUGACCGAGCAACGCCGCGUGAGUGAAGAAGGGUUUCGGAUCGUAAAACUCUGUUGGUAGAGAAGAACGUUGGUGAGAGUGGAAAGCUCAUCAAGUGACGGUAACUACCCAGAAAGGGACGGCUAACUACGUG